rnacentral:rRNA from 1 species
UUUGAUCCUGGCUCAGAGCGAACGCUGGCGGCAGGCCUAACACAUGCAAGUCGAGCGCCGUAGCAAUACGGAGCGGCAGACGGGAGAGUAACACGUGGGAACGUGCCCUUCAGUUCGGAACAACCCAGGGAAACUUGGGCUAAUACCGGAUACGUCCGUAAGGAGAAAGAUUUAUCGCUGAAGGAUCGGCCCGCGUCUGAUUAGCUAGUUGGUGGGGUAAUGGCCCACCAAGGCGACGAUCAGUAGCUGGUCUGAGAGGAUGAUCAGCCUCACUGGGACUGAGACACGGCCCAGACUCCUACGGGAGGCAGCAGUGGGGAAUAUUGGACAAUGGGCGCAAGCCUGAUCCAGCCAUGCCGCGUGGGUGAUGAAGGCCCUAGGGUUGUAAAGCCCUUUCGGCGGGGAAGAUAAUGACGGUACCCGCAGAAGAAGCCCCGGCUAACUUCGUGCCAGCAGCCGCGGUAAUACGAAGGGGGCUAGCGUUGCUCGGAAUCACUGGGCGUAAAGCGCACGUAGGCGGCUUUUUAAGUCAGGGGUGAAAUCCUGGAGCUCAACUCCAGAACUGCCUUUGAUACUGAGAAGCUUGAGUCCGGGAGAGGUGAGUGGAACUGCGAGUGUAGAGGUGAGAUUCGUAGAUAUUCUCAAGAACACCAGUGGCGAAGGCGGCUCACUGACCCGGUACUGACGCUGAGGUGCGAAAGCGUGUGGAGCAAACAAGAUUAGAUACCCUGGUAGUCCACGCCGU